rnacentral:rRNA from 1 species
GAUGAACGCUGGCGGCGUGCCUAACACAUGCAAGUCGAGCGAACGGACGAUAAGCUUGCUUCUUUGGUGUUAGCGGCGGACGGGUGAGUAACACGUGGAUAACCUACUUAUAAUACUGGGAUAAUUUCGGGAAACCGGAGCUAAUACCGGAGGAUAUUUUGAACCGCAUGGUGCAAAAGAGAAAGACGGUCUUGCUGUCACGUAUAGAUGGAUCCGCGCUGGAUUAGUUAGUUGGUAAGGUAACGGCUUACCAAGGCAACGAUGCGUAGCCGACCUGAGAGGGUGAUCGGCCACACUGGAACUGAGACACGGUCCAGAUUCCUACGGGAGGCAGCAGUAGGGAAUAUUCGGCAAUGGGCGAAAGCCUGACGCAGCAACGCCGCGUGAGUGAUGAAGGUCUUCGGAUCGUAAAACUCUGUUAUUAGGGAAGAACAUCUGUGUCAGUAACUGUGCACAUCUUGACGGUACCUAAUCAGAAAGCCACGGCUAACUACGUG